rnacentral:rRNA from 1 species
UACCAGCACCCCGAGUGGUCGGGACGUUUAUUGGGCCUAAAGCAUCCGUAGCCGGUUCUACAAGUCUUCCGUUAAAUCCAACUGCUUAACAGGUGGGCUGCGGAAGAUACUAUAGAGCUGGGAGGCGGGAGAGGCAAGCGGUACUCGAUGGGUAGGGGUAAAAUCCGUUGAUCCAUUGAAGACCACCAGUGGCGAAGGCGGCUUGCCAGAACGCGCUCGACGGUGAGGGAUGAAAGCUGGGGGAGCAAACCGG